AUUGAACGCUGGCGGCAGGCCUAACACAUGCAAGUCGAGCGAGCGGCGGACGGGUGAGUAAUGUAUGGGGACUGCCCGAUAUAGGGGGAUAACUACUGGAAACGGUGGCUAAUACCGCAUACUGUCGGAUAACCCAUAUGGGAUUAGCUAGUAGGUGGGGUAAAGGGGCCCCUAGGCGACGAUCGCUAGCUGGUCUGAGAGGAUGAUAAGCCACACGGGGACGUAGACACGGCCCAGACUCCUACGGAGGCAGCAGGGGGGAAUAGUGCACAAUUGGCGCAAGCCUGAUGCAGCCAUGCCGCGUGUAUGAAGAAGGCCUUAGGGUUGUAAAGUACUUUCAGUGUGGAGGCGGUACCCGCAGAAGAAGCACCGGCUAACUCCGUGCCAGCAGCCGCGGUAAUAC
rnacentral:rRNA from 1 species